GUGGGAUUUUUGGUUGGGCAUGGGCUCUUUUUUUUUCCUUCACAAACUAUAGGACAGUCCUGUGUAAAUGCUUGUGGCCCAAAUUGAGUUGAUGAGUGAUGACCCAGAAGAUUUGCACUUUUAAGUUGUAGGGUUGGAUCAUCUACAACGAAUUGAUCCACAAGCUAGCUUUGUUGGAUGAUAAAAAACUGAUCAAUCUUAUCCCGAACACCCAGCUUAGCUGAGUCACAAGUGCCGCCUCUAACGUGUCAAUAUUGUCAUUCUUGACAACACGUGUUGAAAUCUAGCUAGUUGCAUCCAUGCAGACAUUUCUAGCUUCCACCGCUAUCCUUCUCUAGUUCUCUUGCUUAAACUUGCUUAUAUACUUGUUUCUUAGUAUAGGAAAUUAAGAUGGCUGAUUUAAGAGAUGAGCAUGGCAAUCCAAUUCAACUCACGGAUGAACAUGGCAACCCAGUUCAACUCACUGAUGAAUUUGGCAACCCAGUUCAUAUCACUGGCGUGGCCACCUCAAAACCUCUAACCCUUGGAACAACCGUAGUGCAAACUAAGGUGCCGGCUACUGGCCUCUUGGCCAGUAGUACUGGAACAGAUCACGCACCCAAGGGUUAGACCGGCGAGCAUGGCAUUGGCGGCGAUGAGGGAAAUCAUAGGAAAGAGGAGCAGCAGCAGGGUUCCGGAGAGAUUGAAAGAUCUAUCAGUUCAAGCUCUAGCUCGUCUGAGGAUGACGGCCAAGGAGGGAGAAGGAAGAAGAAGGGACUGAAGGAGAAAAUAAAAGAGAAAUUAACAGGUGGGAAGCACAAGGAAGAGCACGGACACACAGUAUCGAGCACAACCACAGAAACCACCCCAGGCGGCAGAGAACACCAUGAGCAUGAGAAGAAGAGUGUGAUGGAGAAAAUCAAGGAAAAGUUGCCUGGCCAUGGCCACCAUAGCCACUAAAACUAUAUAUAUGAAGCUAGCUAUAUAUCGUGUGUCAAAACUGGGGGAUUAAUGUGUGCUUGUCUCGUUAAUUGGCUAGUGCAUAGAUGUUGGCUAGGGAGGAUUGUAAUAAUUUAUGGUCGAGUGAAAUAAUGCGGCUGCAUAUAUACUUAUAUCAUGAAUAUAUAUAAUAUAUAAUAUUUCAGUUAGUACAAGA
rnacentral:misc_RNA from 1 species